rnacentral:lncRNA from 1 species
GCUACUCAAUUAGUAGGCUCAAAUGCAAUAUAACAUAACUUUUCUGGUUUUAUUACCAAUCAGCUUCAGAAGGAGAGCCGACCACUUUAUCUAUAUCAGCCAAUAGUAUAGGAGUCAUAAAUUACCAAGUCCAGUGCCCAAUAGUACAAACGCAUAACAAGGCACACUUAUUUCAACAAGCUGCUGGCAUUAACGGAAUUAGGCUCAUCUAGCAACUUAAUAUAAGGGCAACAAUUCUUCAUUCUGAGCUUAGUACUAGAUGCGGGCAAGAAAUACCUUUUUUAUAGAUCUACAGAAGCUCCACAG